rnacentral:rRNA from 1 species
ACGAACGCUGGCGGCACGCUUAACACAUGCAAGUCGAACGAGAGAAGAGAAGCUUGCUUUUCUGAUCUAGUGGCGGACGGGUGAGUAACACGUGAGCAAUCUGCCUUUCAGAGGGGGAUACCGAUUGGAAACGAUCGUUAAUACCGCAUAACAUAAUUGAACCGCAUGAUUUGAUUAUCAAAGAUUUAUCGCUGAAAGAUGAGCUCGCGUCUGAUUAGCUAGUUGGUAAGGUAACGGCUUACCAAGGCGACGAUCAGUAGCCGGACUGAGAGGUUGAUCGGCCACAUUGGGACUGAGACACGGCCCAGACUCCUACGGGAGGCAGCAGUGGGGAAUAUUGCACAAUGGAGGAAACUCUGAUGCAGCGAUGCCGCGUGAGGGAAGAAGGUUUUAGGAUUGUAAACCUCUGUCUUCAGGGACGAAAAAUGACGGUACCUGAGGAGGAAGCUCCGGCUAACUACGUGCCAGCAGCCGCGGUAAUACGUAGGGAGCGAGCGUUGUCCGGAAUUACUGGGUGUAAAGGGAGCGUAGGCGGGAUCGCAAGUCAGAUGUGAAAACUAUGGGCUUAACCCAUAAACUGCAUUUGAAACUGUGGUUCUUGAGUGAAGUAGAGGUAAGCGGAAUUCCUAGUGUAGCGGUGAAAUGCGUAGAUAUUAGGAGGAACAUCAGUGGCGAAGGCGGCUUACUGGGCUUUAACUGACGCUGAGGCUCGAAAGCGUGGGGAGCAAACAGGAUUAGAUACCCUGGUAGUCCGCACGGUAAACGAUGGAUGCCCGCUGUUGGUCUGAAUAGGUCAGCGGCCAAGCGAAAGCAUUAAGCAUCCCACCUGGGGAGUACGCCGGCAACGGUGAAACUCAAAGGAAUUGACGGGGGCCCGCACAAGCGGAGGAACAUGUGGUUUAAUUCGAUGAUACGCGAGGAACCUUACCCGGGCUUAAAUUGCAAAUGAAUUAUGGGGAAACCCAUACGCCGCAAGGCAUUUGUGAAGGUGCUGCAUGGUUGUCGUCAGCUCGUGUCGUGAGAUGUUGGGUUAAGUCCCGCAACGAGCGCAACCCUUACUGUUAGUUGCUACGCAAGAGCACUCUAGCAGGACUGCCGUUGACAAAACGGAGGAAGGUGGGGAUGACGUCAAAUCAUCAUGCCCCUUAUGACCUGGGCCUCACACGUACUACAAUGGCUGUCAACAGAGGGAAGCAAAGCCGCGAGGUGGAGCAAACCCCUAAAAGCAGUCUUAGUUCGGAUUGUAGGCUGCAACCCGCCUACAUGAAGUCGGAAUUGCUAGUAAUCGCAGAUCAGCAUGCUGCGGUGAAUACGUUCCCGGGCCUUGUACACACCGCCCGUCACGCCAUGGGAGUCGGUAACACCCGAAGCCUGUAGUCUAACCGCAAGGAGGACGCAGUCGAAGGUGGGAUUGAUGACUGGGGUG